rnacentral:rRNA from 1 species
GACAGAGGGUGCAAACGUUGUUCGGAAUUACUGGGCGUAAAGCGCGUGUAGGCUGCUUCGAAAGUCGGGUGUGAAAUCUCGGGGCUUAACUCCGAAACUGCAUUCGAUACUGCCGUGCUUGAGGACUGGAGAGGAGACUGGAAUUUACGGUGUAGCGGUGAAAUGCGUAGAUAUCGUAAGGAAGACCAGUGGCGAAGGCGGGUCUCUGGACAGUUCCUGACGCUGAGGCACGAAGGCCAGGGGAGCAAACGGG